rnacentral:rRNA from 1 species
UACGGAGGGUGCAAGCGUUAAUCGGAAUUACUGGGCGUAAAGCGCACGCAGGCGGUCUGUCAAGUCGGAUGUGAAAUCCCCGGGCUCAACCUGGGAACUGCAUUCGAAACUGGCAGGCUAGAGUCUUGUAGAGGGGGGUAGAAUUCCAGGUGUAGCGGUGAAAUGCGUAGAGAUCUGGAGGAAUACCGGUGGCGAAGGCGGCCCCCUGGACAAAGACUGACGCUCAGGUGCGAAAGCGUAGGGAGCAAACAGGAUUAGAUACCCUGGUAGUCCACGCCGUAAACGAUGUCGAUUUGGAGGUUGUGCCCUUGAGGCGUUGCUGCCGGAGCUAACGCGUUAAAUCGACCGCCUGGGGAGUACGGCCGCAAGGUUAAA